rnacentral:lncRNA from 1 species
AGCUGCUGAAGCCCUACUCCUGUGCGGUGGAUGGACAGUGCUCCCUGGGGUCCCAGCUCCAACUACUGGCAUCUUGUCAAAGCAGCAGCCCAGGUGGCCACCACUGCCGAUCAGACUUAAUGGAUGAAGACAGGAAGGCUGGGCAGAGCCCUUCAGCUUCCGACUCUGGUUCAGUCACUGAAAUCCGCAAUAUCAUCUCUGUCAAGUAGAGACGGGGUUUCACCAUGUUGGCCAGGCUGGUCUCGGACUCCUGACUCAGAUGAUCCACCCACCUCGGC